GCGGACGGGUUAGUAACGCGUGGGCACGUGCCCUUCUCUGCGGAAUAGCCACUGGAAACGGUGAGUAAUACCGCAUACGCCCUUCGGGGGAAAGAUUUAUCGGAGAAGGAUCGGCCCGCGUUAGAUUAGAUAGUUGGUGGGGUAAUGGCCUACCAAGUCUACGAUCUAUAGCUGGUUUUAGAGGAUGAUCAGCAACACUGGGACUGAGACACGGCCCAGACUCCUACGGGAGGCAGCAGUGGGGAAUCUUAGACAAUGGGCGCAAGCCUGAUCUAGCCAUGCCGCGUGUGUGAUGAAGGUCUUAGGAUCGUAAAGCACUUUCGCCAGGGAUGAUAAUGACAGUACCUGGUAAAGAAACCCCGGCUAACUCCGUGCCAGCAGCCGCGGUAAUACGGAGGGGGUUAGCGUUGUUCGGAAUUACUGGGCGUAAAGCGCGCGUAGGCGGAUUGGAAAGUUGGGGGUGAAAUCCCGGGGCUCAACCCCGGAACUGCCUCCAAAACUAUCAGUCUAGAGUUCGAGAGAGGUGAGUGGAAUUCCAAGUGUAGAGGUGAAAUUCGUAGAUAUUUGGAGGAACACCAGUGGCGAAGGCGGCUCACUGGCUCGAUACUGACGCUGAGGUGCGAAAGUGUGGGGAGCAAACAGGAUUAGAU
rnacentral:rRNA from 1 species